rnacentral:rRNA from 1 species
UACGUAGGCAGCGAGCGUUGUUCGGAAUUACUGGGCGUAAAGAGUGUGUAGGCGGUGCUCUAAGUUCGGUGUGAAAUCUCCUGCUUAACUGGGAGGGUGCGCCGGAAACUGGAGUGCUCGAGCGUGGGAGAGGAAAGCGGAAUUCCUGGUGUAGCGGUGAAAUGCGUAGAUAUCAGGAGGAACACCGGUGGUGUAGACGGCUCUCUGGACCGUAACUGACGCUGAGACACGAAAGCGUGGGUAGCAAACAGG